rnacentral:lncRNA from 1 species
GCCGGAGCAUCCCCAACUCCGAUUUAGACUUCUCUUGCAGGUCUCGACGACGGAUGUGAUCUCCUCGACUCUAGCUUCUCCAGUGUCGGUGGAAUUCUGCACCAACAGAAUUGGUGCUAGAGGAAGGGCGGCUGUAUCUUUGCAGUAUCCUUAUUCUUGAAGGAGUACUCAGCGGGAUUGUCUUUGGUCAUCUUCUUUGAUAUUUUCUCCUUCUUCUCCCACCAGAUCUCCACCUGAUGCCUCCCCGAAAGGCAUCCGCCAGGCGAUGCACGGCCUCCGCAGUCAGAUCUCAGCAAGACCUGCAAGCUCCGACCUCGUCUCCAGUUUUCCAAGCUCCUCCUCCGGCAACGGCAGUCAGCAUGAAGCAGUUCGACUUACUGGUUCAGCAGGUCAGAGGCCUUAACGAAGUAGUGCAGGCCAUGCAGCAGCAGCCGCAGGCAUCUGUGGGGCUGGAAAAAGUAUCGUCGGAGUUCCAAAAUCUGACGACCGGACGGGCCACUUGGGCCAGUCACCCUAUCUUCCCCGGAAAGGGAAGCAGA